rnacentral:rRNA from 1 species
CCUACGGGUGGCAGCAGUGGGGGAUAUUGCACAAUGGGGGAAACCCUGAUGCAGCGACGCCGCGUGGGUGAAGAAGUAUUUCGGUAUGUAAAGCCCUAUCAGCAGGGAAGAAAGAAGACGGUACCUGACUAAGAAGCCCCGGCUAACUACGUGCCAGCAGCCGCGGUAAUACGUAGGGGGCGAGCGUUAUCCGGAUUCACUGGGUGUAAAGGGAGCGUAGACGGCCGUGCAAGCCAGGAGUGAAAGCCCGGGGCCCAACCCCGGGACUGCUCUUGGAACUGUGCGGCUGGAGUGCGGGAGGGGCAGGCGGAAGUCCUGGUGUAGCGGGGAAAUGCGUAGAUAUCAGGAGGAACACCGGCGGCGAAGGCGGCCUGCUGGACCGCGACUGACGUUGAGGCUCGAAAGCGUGGGGAGCGAACAGGAUUAGAUACCCGGGUAGUC